rnacentral:rRNA from 1 species
UGGGGAAUAUUGCACAAUGGACGGAAGUUUGAUGCAGCGACGCCGCGUGGAGGGUUUAGGCCUUCGGGUUGUGAACUCCUUUUUCUCGCGAAAAAGGCACAGUUUUGGCUGUGUUGAUGGUAGUGGGGGAAGAAGCGCCGGCUAACUACGUGCCAGCAGCCGCGGUAAUACGUAGGGCGCGAGCGUUGUCCGGAUUUAUUGGGCGUAAAGAGCUCGUAGGUGGUUCGUCGCGUCUGUCGUGAAAGCCAGCAGCUUAACUGUUGGUCUGCGGUGGGUACGGGCGGGCUUGAGUGCGGUAGGGGUGACUGGAAUUCCUGGUGUAGCGGUGGAAUGCGCAGAUAUCAGGAGGAACACCGAUGGCGAAGGCAGGUCACUGGGCCGUUACUGACACUGAGGAGCGAAAGCGUGGGGAGCGAACAGG